rnacentral:rRNA from 1 species
UCGAACGGUUUUUCUUUCACCGGAGCUUGCUCCACCGAAGGAAAAAGAGUGGCGAACGGGUGAGUAACACGUGGGUAACCUGCCCAUCAGAAGGGGAUAACACUUGGAAACAGGUGCUAAUACCGUAUAACACUAUUUUCCGCAUGGAAGAAAGUUGAAAGGCGCUUUUGCGUCACUGAUGGAUGGACCCGCGGUGCAUUAGCUAGUUGGUGAGGUAACGGCUCACCAAGGCAACGAUGCAUAGCCGACCUGAGAGGGUGAUCGGCCACACUGGGACUGAGACACGGCCCAGACUCCUACGGGAGGCAGCAGUAGGGAAUCUUCGGCAAUGGACGAAAGUCUGACCGAGCAACGCCGCGUGAGUGAAGAAGGUUUUCGGAUCGUAAAACUCUGUUGUUAGAGAAGAACAAGGAUGAGAGUAAAAUGUUCAUCCCUUGACGGUAUCUAACCAGAAAGCCACGGCUAACUACGUGCCAGCAGCCGCGGUAAUACGUAGGUGGCAAGCGUUGUCCGGAUUUAUUGGGCGUAAAGCGAGCGCAGGCGGUUUCUUAAGUCUGAUGUGAAAGCCCCCGGCUCAACCGGGGAGGGUCAUUGGAAACUGGGAGACUUGAGUGCAGAAGAGGAGAGUGGAAUUCCAUGUGUAGCGGUGAAAUGCGUAGAUAUAUGGAGGAACACCAGUGGCGAAGGCGGCUCUCUGGUCUGUAACUGACGCUGAGGCUCGAAAGCGUGGGGAGCGAACAGGAUUAGAUACCCUGGUAGUCCACGCCGUAAACGAUGAGUGCUAAGUGUUGGAGGGUUUCCGCCCUUCAGUGCUGCAGCAAACGCAUUAAGCACUCCGCCUGGGGAGUACGACCGCAAGGU